rnacentral:rRNA from 1 species
GAUGAACGCUGGCGGCGUGCUUAACACAUGCAAGUCGAACGAAGCAUUUAGGACAGAUUACUUCGGUUUGAAGUUCUUUAUGACUGAGUGGCGGACGGGUGAGUAACGCGUGGGUAACCUGCCUUGUACUGGGGGAUAGCAGCUGGAAACGGUUGGUAAUACCGCAUAAGCGCACAAUGUUGCAUGACAUGGUGUGAAAAACUCCGGUGGUAUAAGAUGGACCCGCGUCUGAUUAGCUAGUUGGUGAGAUAACAGCCCACCAAGGCGACGAUCAGUAGCCGACCUGAGAGGGUGACCGGCCACAUUGGGACUGAGACACGGCCCAGACUCCUACGGGAGGCAGCAGUGGGGAAUAUUGCACAAUGGAGGAAACUCUGAUGCAGCGACGCCGCGUGAGUGAAGAAGUAAUUCGUUAUGUAAAGCUCUAUCAGCAGGGAAGAUAGUGACGGUACCUGACUAAGAAGCUCCGGCUAAAUACGUG